GACGAACGCUGGCGGCGUGCCUAAUACAUGCAAGUAGAACGCUGAAGAGAGGAGCUUGCUCUUCUUGUAUGAGUUGCGAACGGGUGAGUAACGCGUAGGUAACCUGCCUGGUAGCGGGGGAUAACUAUUGGAAACGAUAGCUAAUACCGCAUAAAAUGGAUUAUCGCAUGAUAAUCCAUUGAAAGGUGCAAAUGCAUCACUACCAGAUGGACCUGCGUUGUAUUAGCUAGUUGGUGGGGUAACGGCUCACCAAGGCGACGAUACAUAGCCGACCUGAGAGGGUGAUCGGCCCACCUGGGACUGAGACAAGGCCCAGAAUUCUACGGGAGGCAGCAGUAGGGAAUCUUCGGCAAUGGACGGAAGUCUGACCGAGCAACGCCGCGUGAGUGAAGAAGGUUUUCGGAUCGUAAAGCUCCGUUGUAAGAGAAGAACGAGUGUGAGAGUGGAAAGUUCACACUGUGACGGUAUCUUACCAGAAAGGGACGGCUAACUACGUG
rnacentral:rRNA from 1 species